rnacentral:rRNA from 1 species
UACGUAGGGGGCGAGCGUUGUCCGAAGUUAUUGGGCGUAAAGAGCUCGUAGGCGGCUUGUCGCGUCGGCUGUGAAAACCUGGGGCUCAACCCCGGGCCUGCAGCCGAUACGGGCAAGCUAGAGUUCGGUAGGGGAGACUGGAAUUCCUGGUGUAGCGGUGAAAUGCGCAGAUAUCAGGAGGAACACCGGUGGCGAAGGCGGGUCUCUGGGCCGAAACUGACGCUGAGGAGCGAAAGCGUGGGGAGCGAACAGG